UACGUAGGGUGCAAGCGUUGUCCGGAAUUAUUGGGCGUAAAGAGCUCGUAGGCGGUUUGUUGCGUCGGCUGUGAAAUCCCGAGGCUCAACCUCGGGUCUGCAGUCGAUACGAGCAAACUAGAGUGUUGCAGGGGAGACUGGAAUUCCUAGUGUAGCGGUGGAAUGCGCAGAUAUCAGGAGGAACACCGAUGGCGAAGGCAGGUCACUGGGCCGCAACUGACGCUGAGGAGCGAAAGCAUGGGGAGCGAACAGG
rnacentral:rRNA from 1 species